CAGCCGCCGCGGGAAUACGGAGGGGGCUAGCGUUGUUCGGAAUUACUGGGCGUAAAGCGCACGUAGGCGGCUUUGUAAGUUAGAGGUGAAAGCCUGGGGCUCAACUCCAGAAUUGCCUUUAAGACUGCAUCGCUUGAACGUCGGAGAGGUGAGUAGAAUUCCGAGUGUAGAGGUGAAAUUCGUAGAUAUUCGGAAGAACACCAGUGGCGAAGGCGGCUUACUGGCUCAUACUGGACGCUGAGGUGCGAAAGCGUGGGGAGCAAACAGGAUUAGAUACCCGAGUAGUCCCUGUCUCUUAUAC
rnacentral:rRNA from 1 species